CCUACGGGAGGCAGCAGUGAGGAAUAUUGGUCAAUGGACGAGAGUCUGAACCAGCCAAGUAGCGUGUAGGAUGACUGCCCUAUGGAUUGUAAACUUCUUUUAUCUGGGAAUAAAACGUUCCUAGUGGGGGAUUUUGUAUGUACCAACUGACUAAGGAUCGGCUAACUCCGUGCCAGAAGCCGCGGGAAGACGGAGGAUCCGAGCGUUAUCCGGAUUUAUGGGGUUGAGAGGGAGCGUAAGUGGAUUGUUAAGUCAGUUGUGAAAGUUUGCGGCUCAACCGUGAAAUUGCAGUUGAAAAUGGCAGUCUUGAGUACAGUAGAGGUGGGCGGAAUUCGUGGUGUAGCGGUGAAAUGCUUAGAUAUCACGAAGAACUCCGAUUGCGAAGGCAGUUCACUGGACUGCAACUGACACUGAGGCUCGAAAGUGUGGGUAUCAAACAGGAUUAGAUACCCUUGUAGUC
rnacentral:rRNA from 1 species